AACGAACGCUGGCGGCAUGCCUAACACAUGCAAGUCGAACGAGACCUUCGGGUCUAGUGGCGCACGGGUGCGUAACGCGUGGGAACCUGCCCUUAGGUUCGGAACAACUCCCCGAAAGGGGUGCUAAUACCGGAUAAUGUCUUCGGACCAAAGAUUUAUCGCCUUUGGAUGGGCCCGCGUUGGAUUAGCUAGUUGGUAGGGUAAAAGCCUACCAAGGCGACGAUCCAUAGCUGGUCUGAGAGGAUGAUCAGCCACACUGGGACUGAGACACGGCCCAGACUCCUACGGGAGGCAGCAGUGGGGAAUAUUGGACAAUGGGCGAAAGCCUGAUCCAGCAAUGCCGCGUGAGUGAUGAAGGCCUUAGGGUUGUAAAGCUCUUUUACCCGGGAUGAUAAUGACAGUACCGGGAGAAUAAGCUCCGGCCAACUCCGUG
rnacentral:rRNA from 1 species